rnacentral:rRNA from 1 species
UGGUGGGUUGCCUUGUCAGGUUGAUUCCGGUAACGAACGAGACCUCAGCCUGCUAAAUAGGUGCCGUUGCUCAGGCAGCGCGUACGCUUCUUAGAGGGACUUUUGGCGACUAGCCAGAGGAAGUAUGAGGCAAUAACA